rnacentral:rRNA from 1 species
GGAUUGGAGUCUGCAACCCGACUCCAUGAAGCUGGAUUCGCUAGUAAUCGCGCAUCAGCCACGGCGCGGUGAAUACGUUCCCGGGCCUUGUACACACCGCCCGUCAAGCCAUGGAAGCCGGGAGUGCCUGAAGUGCGUGAGCGCAAGCAGCGCCCUAAGGUAAAACCGGUGACUGGGGCUAAGUCGUAACAAGGUAUC